UAACCUGCCUGGUAGCGGGGGAUGACUAUUGGAAACGAUAGCUAAUACCGCAUAACAGUCGACAUUGCAUGAUGUUGAUUUGAAAGGGGCAAUUGCUCCACUACCAGAUGGACCUGCGUUGUAUUAGCUAGUUGGUGAGGUAACGGCUCACCAAGGCGACGAUACAUAGCCGACCUGAGAGGGUGAUCGGCCACACUGGGACUGAGACACGGCCCAG
rnacentral:rRNA from 1 species